rnacentral:misc_RNA from 1 species
AACGCACAUUGCGCCCCGGGGUAUUCCCCAGGGCAUGCGUGGGUGAGCGAUAUUUACUCUCAAACCUCCGGUUUGGUCCUGCUUCGGCCUAAUAUCAACGGCGCUAGAAUAAGUUUUAGCCCCAGCCUUUUUCCUCACCCUCGUAAGACUACCCGCUGAACUUAA